rnacentral:rRNA from 1 species
GUUACCCGUGUGCCAGCAGCCGUGGUAAGACAGGUGGUGCGGACGUUAAUCGGUGUUACUGGGCGUAAAGCGCGCGUAGGUGGCUAAGUAAGUCAAAUGUGAAAUCCCCGAGCUUAACUUGGGAAUUGCAUUCGAUACUGGUUGGCUAGAGUAUGGGAGAGGAUGGUAGAAUUCCAGGUGUAGCGGUGAAAUGCGUAGAGAUCUGGAGGAAUACCGAUGGCGAAGGCAGCCAUCUGGCCUAAUACUGACACUGAGGUGCGAAAGCAUGGGGAGCAAACAGGAUUAGAUACCCCGGUAGUC